AAACUACUCCCUUCGUUCAGAAAUACUUGUCCUAGAACUGGUUGUAUUUAGACUUAUUUUAAUUAUAAAUACAUCCAUUUUAUCCAUUUCUAAGACAAGUAUUUCCGGACGGACGGAGUACAUU
rfam:Triticum aestivum genome assembly, contig: Triticum_aestivum_CS42_TGACv1_scaffold_131164_2BL